UCCCUUCGGGGUGACGCUUGUGGAACGAGCGGCGGACGGGUGAGUAACACGUGGGCAACCUGCCUAUAAGACUGGGAUAACUCGCGGAAACGUGAGCUAAUACCGGAUAAUACUUUUCAUCUCAUGAUGGGAAGAUGAAAGGCGGCUUCGGCUGUCACUUAUAGAUGGGCCCGCGGCGCAUUAGCUAGUUGGUGGGGUAAUGGCUCACCAAGGCAACGAUGCGUAGCCGACCUGAGAGGGUGAUCGGCCACACUGGGACUGAGACACGGCCCAGACUCCUACGGGAGGCAGCAGUAGGGAAUCUUCCGCAAUGGACGAAAGUCUGACGGAGCAACGCCGCGUGAGUGAUGAAGGUUUUCGGAUCGUAAAACUCUGUUGUUAGGGAAGAACAAGUACGAUAGUAACUGAUCGUACCUUGACGGUACCUAACCAGAAAGCCCCGGCUAACUACGUGCCAGCAGCCGCGGUAAUACGUAGGGGGCAAGCGUUGUCCGGAAUUAUUGGGCGUAAAGCGCGCGUAGGCGGUCCUUUAAGUCUGAUGUGAAAGCCCACGGCUUAACCGUGGAGGGUCAUUGGAAACUGGAGGACUUGAGUGCAGAAGAGGAGAGUGGAAUUCCACGUGUAGCGGUGAAAUGCGUAGAGAUGUGGAGGAACACCAGUGGCGAAGGCGACUCUCUGGUCUGUAACUGACGCUGAGGUGCGAAAGCGUGGGUAGCGAACAGGAUUAGAUACCCUGGUAGUCCACGCCGUAAACGAUGAGUGCUAGGUGUU
rnacentral:rRNA from 1 species